GCUUAUUAUUCCAAACUGGGACGUGCCCAUGAAGCUUCCUGGGUAUGUAUCAAGAUUGCCUAAAAGACCUGAAAUUGGGAAAUUAGAGCAGAUUGUGAAGCUGAUCUUUGAAUCCAAGAAACCAGUGCUGUAUGUUGGAGGUGGGUCUCUGAACUGUGCUGAGGAGCUAAGGCAAUUUGUUGAGCUUACCAAUAUACCAGUGGCGAGUACUCUAAUG
rnacentral:misc_RNA from 1 species